CCUACGGGAGGCAGCAGUGAGGAAUAUUGGUCAAUGGCCGGAAGGCUGAACCAGCCAAGCCGCGUGAAGGACGAAGGUGCCAAGCAUUGUAAACUUCUUUUGUCAAGGGACAAAAUCAGGCUCGAGAGCCUGACCGAGGGUACUUGAAGAAAAAGCAUCGGCUAACUCCGUGCCAGCAGCCGCGGUAAAACGGAGGAUGCGAGGGUUAUCCGGUUUUAGUGGGGUAAAGGGGUGCGUAGGGGGACUGUUAAGUCAGCGGGAAAAGCACGGGGAUCAACCCCGGCGAGCCGUUGAAACUGGCUGUCUUGAGAUGUCGAGAGGUAUGCGGAAUGCGCAGUGUAGCGGUGAAAUGCUUAGAUAUUGCGCAGAACUCCGAUUGCGAAGGCAGCAUACCGGCGGCGAUCUGACGCUGAGGCACGAAAGCGUGGGUAUCGAACAGGAUUAGAUACCCGGGUAGUC
rnacentral:rRNA from 1 species